GAGUUUGAUCCUGGCUCAGGAUGAACGCUAGCGGCAGGCCUAACACAUGCAAGUCGAGGGGUAACAUAGUAGCUUGCUACUGAUGACGACCGGCGCACGGGUGCGCACCGCGUAUGGAACCUACCUUUUACAGGGGAAUAGCCUUUGGAAACGAAGAUUAAUGCCCCAUAGCAUCAUUAUGCAGCAUUGCAUUUUGAUUAAAGGCUUCGGCCGGUAAAAGAUGGCCAUGCGUCCCAUUAGUUAGUUGGUAAGGUAACGGCUUACCAAGACUACGAUGGGUAGGGGCCCUGAGAGGGGGAUCCCCCACACUGGUACUGAGACACGGACCAGACUCCUACGGGAGGCAGCAGUGAGGAAUAUUGGACAAUGGAGGAGACUCUGAUCCAGCCAUGCCGCGUGCAGGAAGAAUGCCCUAUGGGUAGUAAACUGCUUUUAUACAGGAAGAAAAAGGGCUACGUGUAGCCCACUGACGGUACUGUAAGAAUAAGGACCGGCUAACUCCGUGCCAGCAGCCGCGGUAAUA
rnacentral:rRNA from 1 species